rnacentral:lncRNA from 1 species
UGAAUUGCCAAUAAUAAUGGCUAGCCCUUCUCAAGUUUAUGCAUGAUGAUGGAAUUGAUCAAGCUUCUAAUUUGGAAAAUGAUUUGAAUCAUAAAAAUGUGACAUUAAAUCUACGUUUUAAAAAAGGAAAUGACCGACAAAACGAUGAGGCCGUUGUGGAUGGUACCUAAUUGUUUUUAUUAUCUUACUGUGUAUUUUAAACGGUAUUUAUAUUAUGAAUUUAAUCUAGCAGUUAAUGCACUAGCAAGAGUUCGCGCGUUAGAAUAAACUUUUAUAUCGUGAUAAUAAAUCGACUGUUUAUCAAAAAUCUGUUUUUGAUAUUAACGGUGUAUCUUAUAGGCUUUUGUGCAAUAGAAACAAACUGUUGCAAUAAAUAAGAUCCCCAUUUUGCGCCAGUUUAAUCCAACAACUCUUUACAUAAUUUGCAGAUGUAUUUUUUUAUUAAUAAAAUCACAGUUUUGAGCCAUCUGAAAAAAUUUCAAUUUAUCAGUAUAUUUCAAUUAUCAGAAAUGCAACAAAGUCGGGUACUUCAUACAAAGUUUUUGAAAUGUCUUCUACAAUUUUUUUACUUGAAAUCUCUAGCCGCAGAUAUUGGUAGUCAUUUUUCUAAAUCUACAGAGAACGAAACCUUAAAAUUAAAUGAUGUAAAAGUAAUACGAGUAACUAGUGAUCAAGAUGGUUAUUUUUUUAUAAGACCUCAUUUGCUCAGCAAGAAUACAAAAUAGUUAAAGUGCCAACUGGCAAGAAGACAUCAAAAGCUUUUAACGUAACUUAUAGCUUGAAAAAUAUUUAUACAAAAAAACCUUCUAUCACUGCUAAAAAGAAAAGUGGAUUAUUGCAUUUCAUUCAAAAGAAUGUUAUUCCUGGACACUAUCAACCAUUUUACGAAAGCUUAUAAUUUCUUAGUAUUGUUAAAAAAACAGAGUAUAAAAGAAUAAAUAGUUUCAUUUAA